rnacentral:rRNA from 1 species
UGGGGAAUAUUGGACAAUGGGCGCAAGCCUGAUCCAGCCAUGCCGCGUGAGUGAUGAAGGCCUUAGGGUUGUAAAGCUCUUUCGCCGGUGAAGAUAAUGACGGUAACCGGAGAAGAAGCCCCGGCUAACUUCGUGCCAGCAGCCGCGGUAAUACGAAGGGGGCUAGCGUUGCUCGGAAUCACUGGGCGUAAAGCGCACGUAGGCGGAUCGUUAAGUCAGGGGUGAAAUCCUGGAGCUCAACUCCAGAACUGCCCUUGAUACUGGCGAUCUCGAGUUCGAGAGAGGUUGGUGGAACUCCGAGUGUAGAGGUGAAAUUCGUAGAUAUUCGCAAGAACACCAGUGGCGAAGGCGGCUUACUGGUCCGGUACUGACGCUGAGGUGCGAAAAGCGUGGGGAGCAAAACAGGAUUAGAUACCCUGGUAGUCCACGCCGUAAAACGAUGGAGGCUAGCCGUUGGCGAGCAUGCUCGUCAGUGGCGCAGCUAACGCAUUAAGCCUCCCGCCUGGGGAGUACGGUCGCAAGAUUAAAAACUU